ACCCCUCUAUCCUCUGUCCUGCUCCACCUAUUGUCUCUGCCUUCUUUCCAUCUGUAUUUCACUCUGUGGUUUGUGAGAAAUUUUGCCAAACCAACAAUCCUUUUGCGGUUUGAUUUAAAGCCGUGUCUCUCCUGCUCUGUCUGUUCUCUCUGCUAAAUUUUCUCUCUACCUGUUUUUCACUCUUGGCUUGCUGCUGAAAAACGCCAAGCGACACAGUCCUCCUGUGUCUUCUCCAAUCUUCACAUGUAAGAUCCAACAGUGUGAGGCACAUAGCAGCCAGAAACUGUAAUGCCACAGAACAGAGAGGCUUCAUCAUCACCAUCUUCAUCACCGUACGAUCAGAGCGUGAGACUUCACAUCUGGAGCACAGGAGACAUUCUGUGAUAAGUCCUCCUUCUAGCUUGUCCCACAAGCAGUCGAGCUGAGACACUCAGGACUGAACAGACUGCACAGUUUCUGUGACUGAGCCUCCAAAACACCUUCUUUGAAACCACUCAUGAUAGAAGGGCUUUAUAUUUGCAGCAGCACUACUACAGUUGGCAGGAAUGUUGCUGCAGGAAAACAUCCCUGGAGAUCACCAUCAUUGUCAGACUGACUGUGCCUCCUCUGUGCAGUGUCAAGAUCCUCC